ACAGUGGACGCGAGCAUCUGUGGCCAAGUUUUUAAGGGCGCACGGUGGAUGCCUUGGCACCAGGAACCGAUGAAGGACGUGGGAGGCCACGAUAGGCCCCGGGGAGUCGUCAACCAGGCUUUGAUCCGGGGGUGUCCGAAUGGGGAAACCCGGCAGUCGUCAUGGGCUGUCACCCGCUGCUGAACACAUAGGCAGUGUGGAGGGAACGCGGGGAAGUGAAACAUCUCAGUACCCGCAGGAAGAGAAAACAACCGUGAUUCCGGGAGUAGUGGCGAGCGAAACCGGAUGAGGCCAAACCGUAUACGUGUGAGACCCGGCAGGGGUUGCGUGUGCGGGGUUGUGGGAUCUCUCUUCUGUUGUCUGCCGGCAACAGGACGAGUCAGAAACCGUUGAUGUAGGCGAAGGACAUGCGAAAGGUCCGGCGUAGAGGGUAAGACCCCCGUAGUCGAAACGUCAGCGGCUCGUUUGAGAGACACCCAAGUAGCACGGGGCCCGAGAAAUCCCGUGUGAAUCUGGCGGGACCACCCGCUAAGCCUAAAUAUUCCCUGGUGACCGAUAGCGGAUAGUACCGUGAGGGAAUGGUGAAAAGUACCGCGGGAGCGGAGUGAAAUAGUACCUGAAACCGUGUGCCUACAAGCCGUGGGAGCGUCG
rnacentral:rRNA from 1 species